GACACAAUGGGGAAAACAAAGGAAGAAAAAGGAGAUCAAAAUGACAGUCCUCAAAAAUCCUUUGGAGAGAAAACUAAGGAAAAUUAAUUCAGUGUGUGUAUACUGUGGAGAAACAGAAGGGAUUCAGGAGAAUUUUGUGAAAAAUAUGCAGAUGAAAAACUGGAUUCCCAAGAGACAAGCCAGAGUCAAAAAUAAUUGUAUCCAAACUGUAACUAAUCAACAAAUGAUUCAGUGAAAUACAUUCUUUAUUUCCAUUCACCAUCAUCUGUUAUUGGCCAGAUACUUUGUUCACAGCUACAAAGCUCGAGCAAGCACAUGAGCACCAAAUUAAGGGACAAAAGUGAAUGCUGUGAAUGCUGCAAGGAAGAGGUAUGACUGCUUUCCACAAAAGCAUGUGUAUUUUCUCUUCAAUGGCAAGCAGAAUUUAACAUUUGCCAGAAACAGGAGAAGGAGGUAUUGGUUUCUCAGAAAAAAUUCCAAGACGAGAAAAGUUGCAUGGUUUUGGCAUGAAAUGCCCUUUCAUUGCAGAGAGCAGGCUGUGCCACAUGACCAAGUAUUUUCCACUUGUUGUGUAGGCCAUCUACACGUUCUAGUUGAAAUCCUAUGUAUUUCCAUGCAGGGAAAAUCAAAUGGGAAUAACACUUAGCUACGAAAAAUGGUGAUGCUGUUUCCGUAGCUAGCGUAUUUCCCUUAAAGGCACCUCCAGCAUGUUAAAGUGUGACUGUACUCCCACAUAUAAGUCCAUUUGGACACAUGUAGGAAAAAGGUCUUGACUAGAGUAUGGCAACGGACAGCAGGAUGCUUAGUGGUGAACUUAGAAAGAGAGUUAGGGUUUCUUGUCAGUUUAAUACAAUUUCACAACAUCCUUUUAAGGGGUCGAUUAAAAUUAUUUAUACUAGUUAAACAAAAGUAUGCAAAAAACUCCAAAAACUCACAGACUUGUUAAGCUACAUGGAAAAAGGGGGAGGGAGAGAUGUGAUUCACAGUUCUGUGCUCAAAAACCUUUAAUUCUACUGUGUAAACAAGUAUGGCUGUCUUAAUAUUAGCAUAUAUGAAGUUGAUUUACAGACACUACUUACAAAAGCAGAAAAAUUACAUGGUUAAAUGCUGACAGUUUUCAACUACUUUGAGUCAGUGACCUGCAGCUCUCCCUACAGCUCUUAACACUUUAUAUAUUUCCUAACAGCAGUGACUGUGUAUCAUGCUGUUGUGGCGGUAUGAGAAAUCCGACAAGUCCAGAUGAUUACAUUUCAUACCAGAAUUAAAGAUCUUUUGACAUUUCUGUCAUUUAAUGGAUACACCAAGUAAGUAUCAGAAAACUGAUACUAUUUAAAACACGACACUUUCUGCAAGAAGUCAAGAACUUGAAAGGUACUUUUUGAACCUGCCCCUAUUAGGCUCAAUAAUUUAAAUCCUAUCUACCACAGCCAGCAUUGCAUUUAUGAGCAGUUUAAAAUGCAUACAAAUCAGUACUGACGAGUUGAACCCAGCAUUUAUUAGCUAUCAUAUGAACUAUAUCCUUUAUGAACUAUAAUUAAAGGAUAAUUUAUUUUUUAAAAAAUUAUUUUUUCUUAGAGUGCAUGCAGGCUAACAGACAAUUUAUAUGGUCUAAUAUAGAUGCAACAGUAAAUGCCACCUAUAUGUGCAAUAUC